AACGAACGCUGGCGGCAGGCCUAACACAUGCAAGUCGAGCGCGCCCUUCGGGGUUAGCGGCGGACGGGUGAGUAACGCGGGGGAACGUGCCCUUCUCUGCGGAAUAGCCUCGGGAAACUGAGAGUAAUACCGCAUACGCCCUUUGGGGGUAAGAUUUAUCGGAGAAGGAUCGGCCCGCGUUGGAUUAGGUAGUUGGUGGGGUAAUGGCCCACCAAGGCGACGAUCCAUAGCUGGUUUGAGAGGAUGAUUAGCCACACUGGGACUGAGACACGGCCCAGCCUCCUACGGGAGGCAGCAGUGGGGAAUCUUAGACAAUGGGGGCAACCCUGAUCUAGCCAUGCCGCGUGAGUGAUGAAGGCCUUAGGGUUGUAAAGCUCUUUCAGCUGGGAAGAUAAUGACGGUACCAGCAGAAGAAGCCCCGGCUAACUCCGUG
rnacentral:rRNA from 1 species